AUUACUAGAGUUUAUCAAGAUAUUAAAAUAUAUUGCCUAAUUAAUCAAGAAAAGACGCAUUUAUACAAGUAAAAUAAGUAUCAUAGCGUCUUAUCUUUUACAAAUGUGACAAAUUUUGUUCUUUGAUACUCCACAUGAACAUACAACAUCAAUAAGAAGUAAAGUCAUUGGGAAAAUAAAUUAUGACGAAAAUGAAAAAAAAUAAAACAAAAUGUAAAAAUGUAGAGAUAUACUUGAAGUUGAACCAACAUCGUGACAAUAAAUCUUAAGUGUAUGAAAAGAAUGAAACUUG
rnacentral:lncRNA from 1 species